rnacentral:pre_miRNA from 1 species
UUGGAUAAAAUCAAUAUGAAUCUCAUAUUUUGGAAAUAGAUCCCACAUAAAGUGGUAGAAUCCACAUUGAUUUCAUCCAA